GGAAAAGUCAAUCCACCAUCACAAGAACAAGAAAAUCCCUAAAUGGCGACGGCGAUGUUCAGAUCUAGUAUUCGCUCCGCCCUCCGUGGCCGCGCUCCUCGUGUAACGCCGGCUCCCAAGAGGACUUUCUCUUCUCACGCCUCCGUCGAAGAAGAGGCCCGGGAAGCUUCUAAAUGGGAGAAAAUCACUUACGUUGCAAUAAUAUCUAGCACUAUUCUUGCAGUGGUUAAUCUCUCCAAGGGUCAUCCUCACAGUGAAGAGCCUCCUGCUUACCCAUACUUGCACAUUCGCAACAAGGAGUUUCCAUGGGGUCCAGAUGGGCUUUUUGAGUCCAAGCACCAUUGAAACUGCACGGUUUCUUUGUGAAGGCAUUUUAAAUAAUUCCUAUCCAUCUGCGAGUAUCAUUGUCACAUUUGUUGUGUUGAAAGCUGUUGAAUUUUUCAUGAAAUGUCUUCCGUUGGAUCUUUUCAGUAUAAGUAUUGCCUUCACUUUGGCGUAUCUGCAUUUGCAGUACACACUUGCUUCUUACAAAGUGUUCUUUAAAGAAAUAAGAAUUGAGAGAUGAUUAAGUCACAUACUAGUUAUUCUUUUCAUCAUAGUUACUCUUAAAUGUCCCAUUCUGAAU
rnacentral:misc_RNA from 1 species